UCCAAGGUCAAAAUCCUGAGCUAGACUAUAGAGCUACAGGGCAGAGAGAAACCAGUCCCAGGAAUGUGAUGCAGGAGGCAGGUAAAUGGAGCAGGGGAGAAGUGAAUUUGUGUGGGAUUUAAACCCGGCUUUGGAUUGUCUUGGUGCAGUGGGAACAGAGCCAUUAAGAACCCGAUUAGACUGGAUGUGCUGAGUUUUGUGCUUUUAGAGCAACUAUGAACGUGAAGCAGACUGUGAGCUGGGUGGAGGAAAGGAAAUCUGAUCAAUAACCAGGAUUGGAAAAUUCAAAUGCUAGCAGAGGCCAAGGGAAACAAGACAAAUCAACUGGGCAAGGACAGUGACCACGGCCUGAUUGAAAGGGUGGCAGCUUCCCUGCUCAGAGAUGUGGUCCAGGGCUGCCUGAUUUUUGUGUUUUGCACAGUCACCUUGGUUAUGAGCCUUGGCAUCAUCAGGAAAGAUUUUCCAAGACUAUAGAAAGGGCAAAAGAGAUUAUCUGGCAUCCUGUCAGUGGACCACAGGGUGUGGUCUCUUGUGGACUCUUCAGGGAUCAUUUGAUUCUUCUAGGAGUUUGUACCUUCGAUGGAUGUUGGGAUGGGGAGAUGAUCCUGUAGUAUCCAGGUGGGCCUAGGAUAAUCUCCAGGGUCUUUAAAAGUGAAAGAGGGAGGGCUUCCCUGGUGGUACAGUGGUUAAGAAUCUGCCUUGCAAUGCAGAGGACACGAGUUUGAUCCCUGGUCCAGGAAGAUACCACAAGGCGUGGCACAAUUAAGCUCAUGCACCACAGUUACUGAUGUUUGCUUACCCUAGAGUCGGUGCUCUGCAGCAAGAGAAACCACUGCAAUGAGAAGCCUGAGCACUGCUACUAGAGAGUAGCCCCUGCUCUCUACAAAUAUAGAGAGCCCAUGUGCAGCAACAAAGACCCAGCACAACCAAUAAAUAAAUAAAUAGUGAAAGAGGGAGACAGGAGAGUCAAAGAAGAUGUGACAUUGCAGUCUGAGAACCCGGAGUGCUGCGGGAUGAAAAAGACUCAACCCACCAUUACUGCCUUGAAGAUGAAGGAAGGGGACCAGGAGCCAAAGGGUGGGGGUGGCCUCUAGAAGGUGGAGAAAGCAAAGAAAUGGACUCCCCACUAGAAUCUUCAAAGAGAACACAGCUUUGCUGACACCUUGAUUUUAACCAAGUGAAAACCAUUUUGGACUUCUUCCCUCCAACUGUAAGAUACUCCAAUUAAACUGUAAGAUAAUCAAUUUGUGUUGUUUUAAGCUACCAAGUUUUUAGUAAUUUGUUAUAGCAACAAGAGAAAACUAAUAGCAGGUUUGGCUUUUGUUGUUGUUUGUUUGUUUUCAUAACAUAUAUCGACUCUAUGAACCGUAGAGGUAGAAGUUAAAUUGUAGAAAAUUGAGAGAAAUACAAAUACUUCCUGUCCAUAGUUAUGCAGAUUAUUCUGUUCAUAGAACUUGAAAAAACACAUUGUCUAGAGUGUUAAAUUCUCAUUUGAAUUUUAACAUCCUAUUGGUUUUUUCAUUAAUCAUAAGUUCAAUAAAACCUUUGAUGUGUUAAUUUUAUAUUU